rnacentral:rRNA from 1 species
AGCGAACGCUGGCGGCAGGCCUAACACAUGCAAGUCGAACGAACCCUUCGGGGUUAGUGGCGGACGGGUGAGUAACACGUGGGAACGUGCCUUUAGGUUCGGAAUAACUCAGGGAAACUUGUGCUAAUACCGAAUGUGCCCUUCGGGGGACAGAUUUAUCGCCUUUAGAGCGGCCCGCGUCUGAUUAGCUAGUUGGUGAGGUAAUGGCUCACCAAGGCUACGAUCAGUAGCUGGUCUGAGAGGAUGACCAGCCACAUUGGGACUGGGACACGGCCCAAACUCCUACGGGAGGCAGCAGUGGGGAAUCUUGCGCAAUGGGCGAAAGCCUGACGCAGCCAUGCCGCGUGGAUGAUGAAGGUCUUAGGAUUGUAAAAUCCUUUCACCGGUGAAGAUAAUGACUGUAGCCGGAGAAGAAGCCCCGGCUAACUUCGUGCCAGCCGCCGCGGUAAGAC